CCCUAAUUGCCAGUACACUAUUACUAUUCCAGGGAAGGUAAGAGAUGGAUAACUACGUGAGCAGGUGUAUGUACCUGGUAGUAUGGUAUUGAACCUGACAAUCCGUAUAGGUUUUGUAGUAGUAACUGUAACCUGAAUAGAUAAAACCAUAUGGCAUAAGGAAAUAUGGCAUAGACCAAGCUCAUCUUAAUACGUACAGUAUAUGUGAAAAGUAAAGUGCCAUGAUGUGUAAAUAUUAAGCAUCGUAGCCAUACUGGUUAAAUAUGUAUCAAUCUUAACCCAUUAAGUGCCGUAUGUACAAGUGAAAAUGUGGUCUGU